GACGAACGCUGGCGGCGUGCCUAAUACAUGCAAGUCGAACGCUUCUUUUUCCACCGGAGCUCGCUCCGCCGGAAAAAGAGGAGUGGCGAACGGGUGAGUAACACGUGGGUAACCUGCCCAUCAGAAGGGGAUAACACUUGGAAACAGGUGCUAAUACCGUAUAACAAUCAAAACCGCAUGGUUUUGAUUUGAAAGGCGCUUUCGGGUGUCGCUGAUGGAUGGACCCGCGGUGCAUUAGCUAGUUGGUGAGGUAACGGCUCACCAAGGCCACGAUGCAUAGCCGACCUGAGAGGGUGAUCGGCCACAUUGGGACUGAGACACGGCCCAAACUCCUACGGGAGGCAGCAGUAGGGAAUCUUCGGCAUUGGACGAAAGUCUGACCGAGCAACGCCGCGUGAGUGAAGAAGGUUUUCGGAUCGUAAAACUCUGUUGUUAGAGAAGAACAAGGAUGAGAGUAACUGUUCAUCCCUUGACGGUAUCUAACCAGAAAGCCACGGCUAACUACGUGCCAGCCGCCGCCGUAA
rnacentral:rRNA from 1 species